rnacentral:lncRNA from 1 species
GCUUGACAUUGCAAAGGACUGGGAACACACACUGCCAGAGAUCAGCUCUCAGCUGGCAAGGAUUUGGCCACAUUUAUCUCACUGUCUCCUCUUGGAGGAUGCGUCUUGCUGGAAUUGGCCUGCCUCAGUCCCACAGAGACUACAGGAAGGGUGACCUUCGAGCUCAAAGCCACAUUCCAGGGAAAGCUUCUGAUGCGGAGGAACUUGUCUCUAAUGGGAGGAAGGAAUUUGUCAUUGCCUAACUAGAGUCUCCUUUGCAAGCUGAGACUUAAUUCUCUGGCAUGGCAUGUUCUAAGCCUUUCACAUUCUCCUACUGAUUUUCAAACCCAAAACCAAGACGGAAGCAACUGUCUCCUUGACCCCAAGUUUUCCAUCUACAGUAGGAGAGUGACUGUGUUAUAGGAAGGCUUUAAAAUGCCCAGAGACCAGCUAGAUUAUAUCUUGGUCCUGACUCUGUGCAUGAAAUUGAGCUAUAUUUUUCCACAGGCUCUAGGACUGAUCAAGAUAGGUGCAUUAUAGAAACAAAUUUUAAAAUAUAGGUCUAUGAAAAGAAACACAUAGGGCUUUGAAAUAUGUUCUUUAUCUAAUUUGUAAGAUCUUGAACUCACAAAUUUAUAAUGGGAUCAGCUAUUACUAUAGCUUGCCAGAGCUCUGUGGAGUAAGAACAAACACACUGAAAUAUUUCAUAAUAUAAAUGGGUCCAUUGCUAAGUCUGCAUACUGCUACUUACUGUCAUUGGGACCAUGCUCUUUGACCUGAGCUACAUGUGUCAUUACAGUAGCAAUGAGAUGUCUGUUGCUCAGCUUCCAAGACUUCCUCUACUGACUUCCUUCUUUUUUUACUGAGAUCUUAUAGGAGAGAGCCCAAUCCACUUAUCUGCCCAGUGCUGAACUCAUAAUGCUGCUUGCAAAAGCAAAUGUGAGGUGG